rnacentral:rRNA from 1 species
AUUGAACGCUGGCGGCAGGCCUAACACAUGCAAGUCGAACGGUAACAGGAAACAGCUUGCUGUUUCGCUGACGAGUGGCGGACGGGUGAGUAAUGUCUGGGAAACUGCCUGAUGGAGGGGGAUAACUACUGGAAACGGUAGCUAAUACCGCAUAACGUCGCAAGACCAAAGAGGGGGACCUUCGGGCCUCUUGCCAUCGGAUGUGCCCAGAUGGGAUUAGCUAGUAGGUGGGUAACGGCUCACCUAGGCGACGAUCCCCUAGCUGGUCUGAGAGGAUGACCAGCCACACUGGAACUGAGACACGGCCCAAACUCCUACGGGAGGCAGCAGUAGGGAAUUUUUCGUCAAUGGGGGAACCCUGAACGAGCAAUG